GACGAACGUUGGCGGCGUGCUUAAUACAUGCAAGUCAACUGAAGCAGUGGUAGCAAUAUCGCUGUGGAGGUGGCGCACGGGUGAGUAACACGUAGGUAAUCUGCCUUCAGGUCUGGCAUAACUCCGGGAAACCGGGGCUAAUAGCAGAUGAUGCAGCGGCUCGACAUCGAGACAGUUGUUAAAGCUAUGGCGCCUGAAGAUGAGCCUGCGUCUGAUUAGCUAGUUGGCGGGGUAACGGCCCACCAAGGCAACGAUCAGUAGCUGGUCUGAGAGGAUGAUCAGCCACACUGGAACUGAGACACGGUGCAGACUCCUACGGGAGGCAGCAGUAAGGAAUAUUGCUCAAUGGGAGAAAUCCUGAAGCAGCAACGCCGCGUGAGGGACGAAGGGCUUUUGCUUGUAAACCUCUGUAGUGAGAGAAAAAAAUCCCAAUCUUUGGGACAUGAUGGUAUCUCAAAAGUAAGCCCCGGCUAACUACGU
rnacentral:rRNA from 1 species